rnacentral:misc_RNA from 1 species
GUGAAUCAUCGAAUUUUUGAACGCAAAUUGCACUCUCUGGCAUUCCGGAGAGUAUGCCUGUUUGAGGGUCAGUAUAAUCAAAAUCGGAGCGAUGCUUUUUGGGUGACGCACCGGAGUUUGGGUCAUCUUAAACCUUUGGGUUUUAAGCGGCUUAAAAUUUUCUUUACGAUUCCACGAACGUUUCUAAGAUUUACUUCUUACACGUUUAAGGUAUCGACCUUUAUUAGACGUGGCCGUUGCAUCGGAUCGCGUCCAUAAAUAUUUCGUUAACUGACCUCAUACAGGUAAGAACACCCGCUGA